rnacentral:rRNA from 1 species
GGGGGGGGCGGGGGGCAGGCCGGGCGCGUGGGGGGCGGGCGGAUGGGGGGGGCUGGCUCCGGGAUGCGGCGGCGGCGGGGUGAGUCGUGCGUAGGAAUCUGCCUGGGAGUGGGGGAGAACGUGCGGAAACGGGCGCUACUACCGCGUCCGUCCUGCGGGAGAACGUGGGGGAUCUUCGGACCUGCCGCUCUCAGAUGAUCCUAGGUCUGAUUAGCUAUUUGGUGGGGUACAGGCCUACCACGGCGACGACCCGUAACUGGUCUGAGAGGAUGAUCAGGCACACUGGAACUGAGACACGGUCCAGACUCCUACGGGAGGCAGCAGUGGGGAAUAUUGGACAAUGGGCGAAAGCCUGAUCCAGCCAUGCCGCGUGUGUGAAGAAGGUCUUCGGAUUGUAAAGCACUUUAAGUUGGGAGGAAGGGCAGUAAGUUAAUACCUUGCUGUUUUGACGUUACCAACAGAAUAAGCACCGGCUAACUUCGUG